rnacentral:rRNA from 1 species
ACAACGGAGAGUUUGAUCCUGGCUCAGGACGAACGCUGGCGGCGUGCCUAACACAUGCAAGUCAACGAGAAAGGGGUAGCAAUAUCCCGAGUAAAGUGGCGCAAGGGUGAGUAAUAUGUAAGUAAUCUACCCAUGGGUUCGGAAUAACUCGUCGAAAGACGGGAUAAUACCGUAUAAUGCAGCGGCAUCGCAUGAUGAUGUUGUUAAAGCUCUAGAAGCGCCUAUGGAUGAGCUUGCAUCCGAUUAGCUAGUUGGUGGGGUAACUGCCUACCAAGGCUACAAUCGGUAGCUGGUCUGAGAGGAUGAUCAGCCACACUGGAACUGAGACACGGUCCAGACUCCUACGGGAGGCAGCAGUGAGGAAUAUUGGGCAAUGGACGAAAGUCUGACCCAGCAACGCCGCGUGGAGGAUGAAUGCCGUAAGGUUGUAAACUCCUUUUGAAGGGGACGAAAAAUUCCGAUAACAUCGGAACUUGACUGUACCCUUAGAAGAAGCCCCGGCUAACUACGUGCCAGCAGCCGCGGUAAUACGUAGGGGGCGAGCGUUGUCCGGAUUUACUGGGUGUAAAGGGCGCGUAGGCGGAUUUGUUAGUCAAGGGUGAAAUCCUACAGCUUAACUGUAGAACUGCCUUUGAUACUGCAAAUCUU